AUUUACCAUGCUUUACCACGGUAACAGUAUACUCUCACCUCAGGGCCCCCCCUCCCAGAAUGUUUUAGAUGUCUUCAUAUAUAAAACACCUCCCUUACGAAAAUUAACCAUGGUUUUAUUGUGGUAAAAGUGUAGUAACCAUGUUUUUUGGUGUAUUGAUUACUAUGAGCAAAAUCAUGGUUUUCAAAAACCAUAGUUAAACCAUGGUUAUGUAGUUACUACAUGGUUAAUUAACCAUGGUUAAUUUUCGUAAGGGCUGAUUCAGUUCAUUAGCUUGUUAGUGUGUUAAUUAAGGAACGUUUUAAACAUUCUGGAACAAGACUGAUGAGUGGAAUCAGGUGUUUCAUAUAAGGAGAUAUUUAAAACAUUUUGGGAGGGGGACCUUGAGGACUGAAGUUGGGAACCACUGACCUAAAGGAUUAUUAGGAACACCUGUUCAAUUUCUCAUUUAUGCAGUUAUCUAAUCAACCAAUCACAUGGCAGUUGCUUCAAUGCAUUUAGGGGUGUGGUCCUGGUCAAGACAAUCUCCUGAACUCCAAAUUGAAUGUCAGAAUGGGAAAGAAAGCUGUGGAGUUUAAUCAGACCCAGCGCACACAAAAACCAUGCGCGAGUGAGAGAUACGAGCAAGCGAACACUCUUCGAGCGCGAAAAAGCAGCACACAAUUGUGUAAAGCAUCCUUGCGAGAGCGCACCUCCGCUCAGUGCGCACAAAUGCAGUCACGCGAGCAAGGUCUUGGAUGAGCUUUUGCUCGACUCUAACUCUCUCUAUGCUCUCACAGCUGCACCACACACGCUCGCUCGAUCAAUAUGACUUUUGGGUCUUUGGGGGCGGGACAUUGACUGAUGUCUUCGUGCCUAUGAUUGGUUGGUUGAUUUAAUCAGUGAUUUGCAUAAUCUUCUGUUCUCAAUUCGUAUCCAGUCAAUCUAGGUAGAGAAGACACGUUUUAAUAGGACCCUUAUGUCGGAGCCAACCCUAUCUCCCGGCGAAUUCGUAAUUAUUCAAACGAUUUAACCAAGUGGCUAAAUCGUAUGAAAUCAUACGAGCUGGCUCGUACGAAAUCGUACAAUUAGUUCAUCGCAUUUAACACAGCCCUGUGUCGCAGGGAUUUCGUGCUAAUUAAUACGAAUAUAUUAAAUCGUACUAUACCAUACAAUUUUGUUCAUCGCAUUCAAGAAGCGUGACCUGUAGCCAGAAAAAAACCUCUGGGUGUGCAUCUGAAAAUCUUUGUGUGUCACAAGCAGACAAGAUAACCAGAAACGCUGGGGAAUUCAGGUGCUUUAAAUCGACUCAUCUCGUUAUAGAUCAAGAUAAUUUAUGAAGAUCUUUAAACGAAGGAUUGGAAUAUCAGAUAGUUGACAUGGUGUGCCACUGUGGGUGGCUCCGGCACACUCGUGGCUACGCCCCUGCCGUGACCCAAAUCUCCUUCGCACAUCAUCGCGAUAUUUAUCAUCAAUUUACAAACGUCAUCACAUCUCGAUCAAGUACAGUACCAGAUGUAUUGAUGGGUUUGGGCUCACAGACGGGGAAGGAAUGGAAAGGUUGUGGUCUUUCCUCCAAAGAUUUGCCAGAGUCACAAAGGAGAUGACUCCAUCUCAUCACCUUGACCUACUGACUGAUGCCCUUUUGCAUUAUGGACGGAGGAAAUCAACUGACCUAGAGGUGCAGCUCCUGCAAAGAGUAGACAAAGCAGAGAAAAUAUUGAUUCUCGCUCCUCAAGAAGAUAUCUCAUCUGUCAUCAGAGAGGCACCAGUGUUGAUUUCUGAAGGAGACAUGGCGAGAUGGAAAAAAAGCUAGCCCAACAGAAACCAAUAAACACUGUCUGUAGAUGGAAAAGGGACUACAUCAUCAGACUGAUUCAGUUCUACAAGUUCAAAUAUUAGAAUUGUGGACUCUGCUGAACAUUGAGAAAAAAUACCGUAUUGGGAGAAGAUGGCAAGAGUCUGAUUCAAACUUCCAGUAUACCCUUAAAGAUGUGGACCGUGAGCUCAGAGUCCAACUGCAAGGCUAGAACUGAAUCAAGGGAGAGAGCAGUCCUCCACCUGAGAAGAAUAUAUCCAGCUUUGCUUCAGAUGGGCAGGGCAUUGCCAUUAGACUCUCCAAGCAGGUAGCCAGCUCCAACAAUAGACUGAGACAGGCAAUAUAAGAAUACAACAGCAUUCAAUGGUCACCGCAGAUGAGCUUCUUACCUCCGACAAUUGAUUUUCAGGAAUCAUGUGAUCCCUCUUGGCAUGUCUACUUCUGCUUUGAUGACACUAUUGAAGAAGAUGAUGUUUCGAGGAGUCUAAAAAGGCGAGGGAUUGAUGCCUUACAUAUGAAGACUCAUGCAAAAGCUGCUCUCAUUCAACGCCUCCAACAGCUGGAAAGAAAACUACAUCAAGCCAUUGUGAUGUUUCACCCACAUGUAUCAGACUUUGUUCCUGCGGACAACCCCCACAUGUGUCAGGCCCUCCCCAUGCCAAGCAUACAGACACUGGUAUACAAUGAUAAGAGUGAUAAUGAUGACAAUGUGGAUAAAUAUGAUAACUAGCACUACAGAUAUUUUUAAAUUUCUAGUCUGAUAUUGUAUUCUGUAAAAAGAAUGAUGUAAAAUGUAUAGUAUAUGUUGCAGCAUAUCAUAGAAACCUUUAUGGUGGUAUAAUAUAAUGUUCGCCUUACUUGUGCAAACAUGAUGUUUUACUAGAUCUAAUUUAUUUUAAAGCGUAGGUACUGUUUUUAAGCACACAUAUUCACACUAGUCUGUGUGAGGACAAAAUUGUGUGUUUACCAUUGUGAUGUUACUUAUUUACUGUAAUGUACAAAUGUGGUCAAUGUGUGUAAGGUGUUUUGUUUUUGUGUGCUAAGUUGAAAUGACAAAGUAUUGAAUCUUGAAUCCUUUGAAACAAAUACUGUAAAAGUUUGUAAAAAAAUAAAAUGUUUUCCACAAUGA